GGAUGUUAGGAGGAUCUGGCUGCAGACAUCCGUGACCAUUCAUUGCCAGGGUUGAUUUUGCUGAUUUGGCUGACUCAGCAAGUGUCCUCUUCCCUCCUCACUGUUCCCUGUGUGUUCCUCCUGAAGGUGAGCACUCUGUUGAAGAGAACAACAAGAUGACCUUCCCCAAACAGAGAUGAAUCGGUCUUUAGUCAAAGGUCUAUGGGUAAUUCUGCUCUUUUGCUAGAACCUUCAAGCAAGCUCUCUCAAAGACAUUUAUUACAGGAGAAAUAUCCACCACACACCUAGUAAACACAACAUAAAAAGAGCCACAUAAAGGGCCUUGGGGAACAAGAAUUUCUUA
rnacentral:snRNA from 1 species